CGGAAGAUUCGGACCAUUGUGUGCACUCAGCAGCAGGGCUUGAGAGGAUUGACUCCAGGUUUGAAAGAAGUUCUGCUGAGGGAAAUUUCCGUGGCCACCCUGACUUGCAGUAGCUGUCACCUGACCAGUCAACAGUCAUUGACAUCUAUGGAAGACGCUCCACUGGAAGAGGAUUAGAACUGGCUAAAGGCUUCAGUGAUCAAUAGUAUUUUUGAUUGAGUUGUUUACCUCUUCUUAGACAUAAUGUUACUGCACACUUAACAGACAAUGGUGUAGUAUAAACAUUUUAUAUGCACCUGGAAGUCCCAAAAUUCGCAUAA